UGCGGCAACCUCGUCCCCGCUGAGUUAUUCUGACUACCUGGCGGCGAUGCGAACGAAAGGUCCUUCUUCGUGUUCGCCUUGUUCGCCGCUGUUCACUUUCACCGUACGACGCCUUCCCUUCCACACUGCCUGAGACGUUUUGAG
ensembl:ncRNA F52B10.19 ncRNA